GCUGAAGGCGGGCCGGAUCUGGUGGUUCUGGAACGGGCGCUGCUGGAGGCGGGGUCUGACCGGUUGAAGGUCGGGGCGUUUUCGGCGGCGUCCAAUGUCAGUGGAAUUGUGACGGACCCUGAUCCGGUCAGCGCCUUGCUGCGACGGCAUGGGGCGGCUGUGGUGUGGGAUUAUGCCGGAGGUGGCCCGUAUCUGCCGAUCGACAUGCGGGCCGGGACACCGUUUCAGAAAGAUGCUGUUGUAGUCUCUCCUCAUAAAUUUAUUGGCGGACCCGGGGCAUCGGGUGUGCUGAUUGUGCGGAAAGGGGUGGUAGGGAUGUCGCGGCCGGUUUUUCCGGGCGGCGGCACGGUCCGGUUUGUCUCGCCCUGGGGGCAUGCAUACAGCGACGAUCUGGUGUCGCGUGAAGAGGCGGGGACGCCGAAUGUUGUGGGCGAUAUUCGGGCCGCGCUGGCGUUUCUGGUGAAAGAGGCGAUCGGGCAGGAGGUGAUGGACCGGCGGCAUGAUGAGUUACGGCGUCGGGCGCUGGCGUGCUGGUCGCGAAACCCGAAUAUCGAUGUUCUGGGAAAUGCGGGGGCAGACCGUGCUUUGCCGGUC
rnacentral:tRNA from 1 species